UUCCUUUUUACCUCAGAUUAGGAGUGGUCGGUUGGUUAUCGUUACCACUAUUCAUUACCAGUAACCGGCGCUUUGUAAUUUAUAACGGUAAAAUGUCAUUAAAUUUAUUAUAUCCAGAUAACAUAACGGAGGAUUAUCUACGUCAUCAAUUUUAUUUCAAAUAUUUAACGGGUUUCCGGAUGCCGAACCUCAAUGUACUAAAACCGGCCACGUGGUUAUGUCACAUACUACCCAAUUUUGAUAUCUUCAUACACCCCACAGGGUGAGAGAUUUUUAUUAUGUUACAAUAGUAAUAUAAUAACAUUAAUGAGCCGAAGAGUUCUUGCUGAGAUGGAGCUGUUGCUGUGCUGUUUUGUUGAAGAUUAAACUGCUGCAUGUCCAAUAAGCUGCUGCUGCUAGCCACUUUGCACUGCUUUUAUUUCUAUGCUGAAUGAUCAGUUUCAUUUUCUAUACUGGACGCUGCAUUCAUGGAUUGCUCUAAUCCUGCUUAUUUAUUUUAUCUUAUAUUAUUACAAUUAUGUCUAA